rnacentral:rRNA from 1 species
AUGAUGGGGGUGACAAAUUCCAUAUCAAAUCUGUUGGUCUCACCUCCCUGCACUGCACCUGUGGUAAGUGCUACAGUAGAUGAUAUUCCGCAUGCCAAGCAAAAUUUGGUUUCCUUUUCUUUUCUCAAACACGCAUCAAAAUGCAUGUCAUUUUUUAGAAGAAGCAAGAGGAAAAAAGGGUAUAAACCUCAGAAAAUUUCUGGAGAUACCACAUCAAGAAAGAAGUUGCCAUUCAUUUCCAGUCCUCCUACUUUGACAGGUUAUAUACAGCUGUUACAUACAUCAGAGAUAGAGACCCAAAAUUUCAGCCACUAG